rnacentral:rRNA from 1 species
UAGCGUUGUCCGGAAUCAUUGGGCGUAAAGCGCGUGUAGGCGGCCUUGUAAGUCGGUUCUGAAAGUCCGGGGCUCAACCCCGGGAGGCGGAUGGAUACUGCAAGGCUCGAGUCCGGAAGAGGCGAGUGGAAUUCCCGGUGUAGCGGUGAAAUGCGCAGAUAUCGGGAGGAACACCAAUGGCGAAGGCAGCUCGCUGGGACGGUACUGACGCUGAGACGCGAAAGCGUGGGGAGCAAACAGG